GAGACGUUAACUUAAGAUGAAAGUAAUAAAUUUUUAAUUUAGAGAUGGGGGGCCACGUCUUA
rnacentral:tRNA from 1 species